AUUGAACGCUGGCGGCAGGCCUAACACAUGCAAGUCGAACGAGUGGCGGACGGGUGAGUAAUGUCUGGGAAACUGCCUGAUGGAGGGGGAUAACUACUGGAAAAGGUAGCUAAUACCGCAUACCAUCAGAUGUGCCCGGAGGGGCUUAGCUAGUAGGUGGGGUAAUGGCGCACCUAGGCGACGAUCCCUAGCUGGUCUGAGAGGAUGACCAGCCACACUGCAACUGAGACACGGUCCAGACUCCUACGGGAGGCAGCAGUGGGGAAUAGUGCACAAUGGGCGCAAGCCUGAUGCAGCCAUGCCGCGGGUGUGAAGAAGGCCUUCGGGUUGUAAAGCACUUUCAGCGGGGAGGCGUUACCCGCAGAAGAAGCACCGGCUAACUCCGUGCCAGCCGCCGCGGUAAUAC
rnacentral:rRNA from 1 species